UGUCUCUCUUUGUCUAGGGUAAAAAUCUUUUUCAGUCAUUUUCUUUGAUCUUUCUCCUCUGAAUCCUAGCGUUUAUACCCACACCUAUCAGCUAUUUAUAUAUAUAUAUAAUGUUUCUUUUCUCUUUCUCCAGUUUGGUUUCCUUGAAAAUGUAGAAAACUGAGGAAUGGGUUUGAAAUUUCUGUGAUUGUUAUCAAAAAUUGGAAUCUUGGAAUUUCCAUUGGCUCAUUUGAUUGGAACAGUAAAAGAGAUUACUAGGUUCUAUAAUACUAAAAAAAUUGUGAGAUUUAAAAAAAAGAUGACAAGGAAUGAUAACAGGGUUCAAAUUUUUUUUUUUUAAUUAUGAAUUACAACCUUGGCUGGAAAAAGUUUGGAGUUUUACUGCAUAAAGAGGAAUUUGUUUUGAACUUGUUGAAGUGUUGUUGGUUAUCAAUAACCCUUUAUUUUACACUGUUUUGCUCAACAGGUGGGGGUUGGAAAUGGGUCAAAUUAUGUCUCCAAAAGUGUUGAGGAUGAAGGUUUGUGUAGUAGUAGUAGUGGUAGUAGCAAACAUAAUACUAUGAAUUAUGUUGUCUGUAAAAGCAUGUUACAAACCUAUGUAUUAUGUUGUUUGUAAAAGCAUGUUACAUGUUUGUAACAUGUAAAUUCAUAGUUGUCGUUGUCUGUAAAAGCUUGUUACAGGUUUGUAACACGUAAGUUCUCUAUCAUGUUUUUUUUUUUUGUUUAAGUUGCAAGAUAAUGGUUUUGUUCUAUACAUACCAGGUUAUAUUUGUUUAGAUGUUGUUAACUUGUGUUA